rnacentral:lncRNA from 1 species
CUGAAGAGCUGGUCUCACUCCCACUGUGCCACCUCCAACAGCACAGAGUCUGUUUCCAGGCAGCAGGCAAGCAGGGCUUGAGAACUUUCCCCAGGCUACCCGCCUCCCAGCUGUGAAAGAAAAGGACUUUAGUUCUUCCCCCACCUGUGGAAUCUGCUGGCUGGAUUCAUGCCCUCCAGCAAGUUCUGGCCAGGAGGCUUCUCACCUGGUUCAAAUUGUUACAAAGUUCAGCUGGAGACUUCCUUCUCCCUGUGGCAUUUUCCCCAUACCUCUGGACACCCUCCUGAAGGAUCCCUGUGGUGCCAGGCAUGAAUGGCCUGCUUGGGGACCCAAUGAGUUCCCAGGACCCUUCCUGCUGCUUCUUCUACCCUUGUAUUUUGCUUGGCUGUCUAAAUUGACUCAGCUCCAGGAUCCCUUCGUUUGAGGUAGGAUAUGGAAUCGCAUCCACUCUGAUUUGUUGCCAGCAGUGUUCUCCAACUUAAUUAUCCUCUGUGAUCCACACUAAAGUAUUUUGAAGAAUAACAAAGCUCUCCAAGGGUCUUAAUACAGCUGCCUCGGCAACAUGGCCUCAUGGUUUUUGGAUUUAAUGGGAGAGCUGGUGUCAACAACUUUUUCAAUCCAGAUGCUCUGUGAUCUGUGUGCUUUGAAGGAAAGGAGAGGAAGUGCUGUGUGUUUCAACUGAAGGACUCUAUUGGUAAUUCUUUGAUAUCCAGUUCUGGAGGUCAGUAAGUCCAAUAUCAAGGUGCCAGCAUCAGGCAUUAUGGCCAGCACACUUCCUGCGAAUUUGUACCACCACCCCUUAUCUCAUCUAUGCUUCUGCUCACAGCACUGCACUGGAGCCAGGGGAUGGAUACCUGGCACUUGUAUGUCCUAUGAAGAAAGAGAGGAGGAUACAUUGCUUCCCUAUGUAUCCUUAAGGGAUAGACCAGAGGAAAAGUUAAGUAAUAGAUAAACAAUCAAUAAUACCUAAUUGGUUUCCCAAUCAAUUAGCACUUACUGUGUUGGAUUUGUUCACUUUCAGCCAUAGUUACACCUUGAAUUUCUGUAUUUCCAAAGUGGGCUCUUUUUUUUCUAAGGAAUUUCCUCAAUUUUUUCGUGUAAGUAGGCUUCUGAGGAGUCUAUUUCACUGAUUUUUGUGAUAUAUUUAAUCAUUCCAGGGCUACAAAAUUUAAGCUGAAUUUAAAUUAUUCAUAAUAUAACAAUCUCUCUUCCUCUGUCUCUCUUUCUUUCUAUAUCUUUCAUUACAUAUAUGUAAUAAAAUAUUUUCAUUAUAUAUCUGUAUAUCUUUUAUAGAAAUCUUUUCAUUAUAUAUUUCAUAUAUAUUCAUGUAUCUUUCAUACAUU